rnacentral:misc_RNA from 1 species
AUCGAACAGCCGACAGAAUUGAUCGAAUAAACAACGAAUAGACCCAGAACCUAUACGUUGGAAACACACCUGUCCUGCAUCAAUGGCCACAUCUUACCAAUGUUAUGAAAGCCUGAAACCAACACGUGACAAAGCAGUGGUACGCCGACGUGGCCUAAAAUUAGAUUUCAUAGGGACAAUGGACCUCUCUCUGUACGGUACCUGUCAGUCACUGCACGACAAAUGACCUGACGAGAUCUGGAGCAACGAUACGUCGAAGAAGCGCUCUUCGUUGCGAGCUGUUGCGUACAAUCGAUUCUUAAAGAGCUAUGGUCUUUCGAAGAAUUCAAUAUCGGA